UACGGAGGGUGCGAGCGUUGUCCGGAUUUAUUGGGCGUAAAGAGCGUGUAGGCGGUUUGGUAGGUCCGCUGUGAAAACUCGAGGCUCAACCUCGAGACGCCGGUGGAAACCAUCAGACUAGAGUCCGGAAGAGGAGAGUGGAAUUCCUGGUGUAGCGGUGAAAUGCGCAGAUAUCAGGAAGAACACCCGUGGCUAAGGCGGCUCUCUAGUACGGUACUGACGCUGAGACGCGAAAGCGUGGGGAGCGAACAGG
rnacentral:rRNA from 1 species